AAACUUCGCAAUAAUAGGACGACGGGGGGAGGGGAAGUAGGGGACUUUGACAUGACAAUUUGAAUUUUAUAAGUGAAGUGCACAAUUGGUGUAAACUCAAAAUCGCAGGCUCACAGAGAAAAAUAUCGAUCGCCAACUUAUUAUUUAUGAUAUUUUGUAGUGAUCUUGCUAAAAUUUGAAUAAAUAAAUACAGAAUACAUGAGUGCCAUUGUGAUACCCCAGUUUGUAUGAUAAUUUUUAAUUGUUUGUAUGUUAUU